rnacentral:rRNA from 1 species
CCCUACGGGGGGCAGCAGUGAGGAAUAUUGGUCAAUGGUCGGGAGACUGAACCAGCCAAGCCGCGUGAGGGAUGAAGGUACAGAGUAUCGUAAACCUCUUUCGUCAGGGAACAAAGGCGGGGACGCGUCCCCGGAUGAGUGUACCUGAAGAAAAAGCAUCGGCUAACUCCGUGCCAGCAGCCGCGGUAAUACGGAGGAUGCGAGCGUUAUCCGGAUUUAUUGGGUUUAAAGGGUGCGCAGGCGGUCUGUUAAGUCAGCGGUCAAAGCCCGGGGCCCCACCCCGGCCCGCCGUUGCAACUGGCAGG